UGCCAGGCUUUUGGUUGAGGACAGCAGCGGUUUUCCAUCACGACUGGCACCCUCCUCUUUGUCUUCCAUCUUCUCCCAUUUCUGCAUCCUCUUUACCCUGCCUACGAGGCAGCAACAGAGUCCAGUGUGGGUUUAAGAACAGACGGUGAGCCCUGGCUUCAUUGAUGUGUCCUCUUUCCCCGGCGACCACCGUUUCCUUCCACCACAGACCAGGGACUGCCCCAGUGCCAAUUCCCUGUAGAACUGGAUAGGACUUCUAUUUCUUCCCUUAAAAUACAAUCCUAUUCCUUUUGGUUUGAUCGAGAGCUUCAGCCUGCUACCCAAUCACUCUUGACCAAAAUCUCAAACCUCAGUGUAGAGGUAUUGCAGAAGACCAUUGUUAAUCUGAGGAGAUAGUGGUGACCACAAGUUUUUUUUCCUGUGUGUUUCGAUGACAACACCAGGCUGGAUUAAUGAUGUUGGGUUUUCUGUUUUAACUAAUUGCACUUGGUAUUGGAAUGGGGGAGAUGUUUUCUCUGCCCUUGGAAUGAAUCCCAGCUGUACUACCUUGUUUCACUAUAAGUUAGGAGGGCUUGUUUUUCUAUG